GAUGAACGCUAGCUACAGGCUUAACACAUGCAAGUCGAGGGGCAGCGGGGGUCUAGCUUGCUAGAUUUGCCGGCGACCGGCGCACGGGUGAGUAACACGUAUCCAACCUGGCCCAUACUCGGGUAUAGCCUCUCGAAAGGGAGAUUAAUCCCCGAUGUUGUUGCGAUUCCGCAUGGUGUUGCAACCAAAGAAUUUCGGUAUGGGAUGGGGAUGCGUUCCAUUAGCUUGUUGGAGGGGUAACGGCCCACCAAGGCGACGAUGGAUAGGGGUUCUGAGAGGAAGGUCCCCCACACUGGAACUGAGACACGGUCCAG
rnacentral:rRNA from 1 species